ACCUUCGUGGUGUAAUGAUCAGCACGCUCGACGCGUAACCGAGAGGUCCGUGGUUCGAUUCCCGGCGAAGGCG
rnacentral:tRNA from 1 species